rnacentral:rRNA from 1 species
CGGGUCCCUGCAGUCGACGAUUCUACGGGAGGCAGCAGUAAGGAAUAUUGGUCAAUGGGCGAAAGCCUGAACCAGCCAUGCCGCGUGUGUGAUGAAUGCCCUUUGGGUUGUAAAGCACUUUUGUCUGGGAAGAAUGGUCGCCAUUUAUGGUGGAAGAGACGGUACCAGAAGAAUAAGCACCGGCUAACUCCGUGCCAGCAGCCGCGGUAAUACGGAGGGUGCAAGCGUUAUCCGGAAUCACUGGGUUUAAAGGGUACGUAGGCUGUAAUAUAAGUCAGACGUCAAAGGCUGUGGCUAAACCAUAGUACGCGUUUGAAACUAUAUCACUUGAAUAUGUUCGAGGUGUACGGAAUGCGUCAUGUAGCGGUGAAAUGCAUAGAUAUGACGUAGAACACCAAUUGCGAAGGCAGUGCACUAGGGCAUUAUUGACGCUGAGGUACGAAAGCGUGGGUAGCGAACAGGAUUAGAUACCCUGGUAGUCCACACCGUAAACGAUGAAUGCCAGUCGUCGGGUAGCAUGCUGCUCGGUGACACACCUAACGGAUUAAGCAUUCCGCCUGGGGAGUACGGUCGCAAGAUUAAAACUCAAAGGAAUUGACGG